rnacentral:rRNA from 1 species
UGGGGAAUCUUGCGCAAUGGGCGAAAGCCUGACGCAGCGAUGCCGCGUGGGGGAUGAAGGCUCUCGGGUCGUAAACCCCUUUCAGCAGGGACGAAAAUGACGGUACCUGCAGAAGAAGCCCCGGCCAACUACGUGCCAGCAGCCGCGGUAACACGUAGGGGGCGAGCGUUGUCCGGAUUUAUUGGGCGUAAAGGGCUCGUAGGCUGUUCAGUAAGUCAGGUGUGAAAACCCAAGGCUCAACCUUGGGACGCCACUUGAUACUGCUGUGACUAGAGUCCGGUAGAGGAGAUUGGAAUUCCUGGUGUAGCGGUGAAAUGCGCAGAUAUCAGGAGGAACACCAACGGCGAAGGCAGAUCUCUGGGCCGGUACUGACGCUGAGGAGCGAAAGCGUGGGGAGCGAACAGGAUUAGAUACCCCCGUAGUCC